rnacentral:rRNA from 1 species
AAUCCAUAGGUUAAUGAGGCGAACCGGGGGAACUGAAACAUCUAAGUACCCCGAGGAAAAGAAAUCAACCGAGAUUCCCCCAGUAGCGGCGAGCGAACGGGGAGGAGCCCAGAGCCUGAAUCAGCAUGUGUGUUAGUGGAAGCGUCUGGAAAGGCGCGCGAUACAGGGUGACAGCCCCGUACACAAAAGCGCAUGUGCUGUGAGCUCGAUGAGUAGGGCGGGACACGUGGUAUCCUGUCUGAAUAUGGGGGGACCAUCCUCCAAGGCUAAAUACUCCUGACUGACCGAUAGUGAACCAGUACCGUGAGGGAAAGGCGAAAAGAACCCCGGCGAGGGGAGUGAAAAAGAACCUGAAACCGUGUACGUACAAGCAGUGGGAGCUCCACCACCAAAGCAUUUGCUGUACCGCGUUGACGGAGCGAAGCGACGUCAA